AGUGAACGCUGGCGGUAGGCCUAACACAUGCAAGUCGAACGGCAGCACAGUAAGAGCUUGCUCUUACGGGUGGCGAGUGGCGGACGGGUGAGGAAUACAUCGGAAUCUACUUUUUCGUGGGGGAUAACGUAAGGAAACUUACGCUAAUACCGCAUACGACCUACGGGUGAAAGCAGGGGAUCUUCGGACCUUGCGCGAUUGAAUGAGCCGAUGUCGGAUUAGCUAGUUGGCGGGGUAAAGGCCCACCAAGGCGACGAUCCGUAGCUGGUCUGAGAGGAUGAUCAGCCACACUGGAACUGAGACACGGUCCAGACUCCUACGGGAGGCAGCAGUGGGGAAUACUGGACAAUGGGCGCAAGCCUGAUCCAGCCAUACCGCGUGGGUGAAGAAGGCCUUCGGGUUGUAAAGCCCUUUUGUUGGGAAAGAAAAGCAGCAGGUUAAUACCCCGCUGUUCUGACGGUACCCAAAGAAUAAGCACCGGCUAACUUCGUG
rnacentral:rRNA from 1 species